rnacentral:lncRNA from 1 species
CUUUUAUGCAAAUAAGAUGUUGGCCAGGACACCCCCACCCAUCCUAUGUUUACGCUGAGCGAUUAUCACAUGUGAAAAUAACAGAAAACAGAGGCGCUGUCCAACCCUAUAAGGGGGGAAUAAGACUCUGUGUGGCCUGUAAUCAGCGGCGCUGCCUGGGCUGGAGGCUGACAUGUCCAGCGUGAAGCGUCGAGAUGUGAACUGCAGACACCAGCAGCAAUAAAACUGGAGUCAGAAAAUCCCGGCCCA